rnacentral:rRNA from 1 species
GACGAACGCUGGCGGCAUGCCUAACACAUGCAAGUCGAACGGAACUUGUUGAAUGAAGUUUUCGGAUGGAUUUUAGCAAGUUUAGUGGCGGACGGGUGAGUAACGCGUGAGCAACCUGCCUUUCAGAGGGGGACAACAGUUGGAAACGACUGCUAAUACCGCAUGAUGUGUCGAGACCGCAUGGUCUUGACACCAAAGAUUUUAUCGCUGAAAGAUGGGCUCGCGUACGAUUAGAUAGUUGGUGAGGUAAACCGGCUCACCAAAGUCGACGAUCGUUAGCCGGACUGAGAGGUUGAACGGCCACAUUGGGACUGAGACAACGG